CUGUUUUUGAGAUAAAUAUCGGGAAAAAACAUGGUUACAACUAAACAUUGCUGUUACGGAGAUUGCAAAAGUGAUUCAAGAACAUUGAAUAACGAUGAAAUUUUCUUUAUUGGUUUCGGUAACGGAUUUCCAAAGCAAAACGUUGAUCGUGAAAAGUGCAUGCGUUGGGUGCAAAACUGUGGACGUAAAUACUUUACCAUCGCAAAUGUUAAUAAAGAUACAUACAUUUGUUCACUAUAUUUCGUUGGUGGAAAGGGUCCGACAGAAGAAACUCCAGAUCCCGUUAAAUGUGGAAUAGAGCGUAGUGUUUUCACGGUUAGCUCUUUGGGGUUCGUUUACAACAACAACAAUUAUAACUUUCAACGGCACUAAAUACAAUACUCACGUUGGCAUCGACUGGAAUGCUCGUCAGGAUGGCACCAAACGUCCUCGUCGUCUUCGAGGGAACUCGUCGCCGUCGGCUCGGCUCGUCUCGUCGGUUGCACGUCACAGAAUGGAACUUAUACAUGUACUUCUGGGAAUACACCUCCAGGCAAAUACGUACUUAAACACACAGUCACCGGCUUACAUACACAUAUACUUCUGGGAAUACACUUCCAGGGAAAAACGUGUCAUUGACACAAUCACAGGCAACUCACAGACUCACAUACACAGUCACAGACUCACUUAUAUCUUCUGGGAAUGGCCUUCCAGGUAAAUACGUGUUGAACACACAUUAAAUACAAUAUAAUACAAUACUAACAGGCUCACAGCUAGACACUGGCUAACAUGCACAGGCUUAACCCCCUGGAACUACUAUCGUACUCAGGGUUACACGCACAGGUUCACAGUUACAGGCUCAGAGUUACAGACACACAUAUACAAUACAAUACCAUAUACAAUAUACAGGCUCACAAUUCCUCACACAAUACUCACAUUGGGACAUAGGCACAUAAACCCAUCUACUCACAUCAACGUCCCGUGCACAAGAGACCGUAUUAUCUCGUGCUACCCAGCAUGCACUAUACCGAUUUGUCGCUGGUUCCCAAUUACGGGCACCGGCACAACAAGAGAUCAUCAGAAAGAGAAAGAAACCUGCAGAAAGACUGCCCUACAAGUCAGCUAAACAACAGAGCAUUGAAAAGAAUGAAGCCGCCCAAACAAUGCUUAUGUUACCAAAGGCUGGUACAAGUUCAACUCCAGAUUCAUUAGAAACACAACUACCACAAGAGAGCACCUCAAAUAACCCUACGUUGCCAUCAUUUACAAGCAUUUGAAUAAACUGCAAACCCCAUGUACAAGAGAGAGAGAGUGCCAGACAGAAACACCAACUACAACCGAUGUUGUCAGGUUGAAAAUUCAAAACAGAAUUUUGGAAAACAGUAUCAAACUCUCCUCUGAAGAUAAGUUCGAGAUUAAAAAGCCAAAGAAAAAGCAAUCUCCUCUGAAGAUAAGUUCGAGAUUAAAAAGCCAAAGAAAAAGCAAUCAUCUGAAAUGAAAAAUGCACAAUCAAAUCCUAUCACUGAAACUUUCUGUGUGGACACCUUCAAAACUGAUGAUAAAGCAUUCAAAUUCUACACUGGUUUGACUUAUAUUCAGUUUGUAUGCCUAUGGAAUUUCUUGGGAGACUGUACACAAAAAAUUAAAUUUUGGAAUUCUAGUGUGACAAACCCAGACAAGACCCCUAGCCGUAGACCAGGGCGUAAGCGACUUAUUUCACCUCAGAACCAGUUGUUUAUGCUUCUUGUUCGUUUGCGGCUUGGACUGCUGAAUCAAGAUUUGGCAUACAGGUUUAAUACAAACACACGACAAGUAUCGUCAAUAAUAAUAACUUGGAUUCAGUUGCUUUAUAAACAGUUUUCAAUGUUAAAAAAGUCAAUGUUUGCUUCCAGGAGGAAAGUUAGAAAACAUUUGCCGAAAAGUUUUAAAAAAUAUAAGAAUAUUUGCUGCAUUAUAGACUGUACUGAAGUUCAUGUGCAAUCACCUGGAAAUUUUCAAGCCCAGGGCAAUCAGUACUCUUCUUAUAUUAAAGGGCUAUACUUCGUAUAAAUUUCUUGUUGCUGUAGCCCCAAAUGGAGGUAUUCUGUAUGUUAGUGAUGCCUUUGAAGGCAGUAUCAGUGACAAAGAGAUUGUUAAAGAAUCAGGCUUUUUAGAAUUUCUUGAUCCAGGUGAUGUUAUAAUGGCAGAUCGUGGGUUUCUCAUAGAUGAUAUGUUAAAUGAACGUAAGGUUAAAAUGAUUCGACCUCCGUUUCUUGGAUCUAGGCAUCAGUUAAUCCCACAGGAAGAGGCAUUAACUAAAGAUAUUGCAAAACAUAGAAUUCAUGUAGAGCGUUCCAUUGAAAGAAUUAAAAAAUUCAAAAUUCUUCAGAGAAUUAUUCCACAGUCUUUGCAGCCAGUUUUUUCCCAGCUAGUUUUUGUUAUAGCUUGUGUAGUGAAUUUUCAGGAACCUCUUGUUAAAUAAAGAUUAGGUAAAUGGACUUGUGAUUAAAGAAAAAGAAGUCAAUUUACAUUCAUAUCCUGUUCAAUUUAUUUCAUAUAGGCAAAAGGAUACAAAAUAAUAUCACUCAACAAAGUUGUUCAACAUAUAUUUUGUAAGGCUAUUUUCUAGCAAUAAUUUAUCUCAAAUUUAUUACAAUUUUAUAAAAUUGUAAGCAAUAAAUGCAUGUAGAUGUAUGUGUGAUGUAAGUAAUUAUUCCUGUCUAAUUUAUUUUUCAACCUCUCCACAUAAUCUCAAAUUAGAUAUAUGUGAAUCAAGUAUAAAUACAUGAACUACGUCAAAUAGAAUAACAAAAAAUGUAGCAAUGAAACAUUAUCCAGGAAUCUAGAGAAUUACAUGUGUAUUUAUGUGAAUUUUAUUCAUUCACAAUGUAAUUUACAUAUGAGUCGUGUUUUGAGAAAACUGGGCAUAAUGCAUUUGCGUAAAGUGUGGUCCCAGAUUAGCCUGUGCAGUCCGCACAGGCUAAUCAGGGACGACACUUUCCGGCCUAAUUGGAUUUUUGCUCAGAAGAUACUUCCUUUAAACGAAAAUACCAUAAAAGCGGAAAGUGUCGUGCCCGAUUAGCCUGUGCGGACUGCACAGGCUAAUCUGGGAUGACACUGUACGCACAUACAUUAAGCCCCGUUUUCUCAGAACGCGUCUCGUAUGUAUUUACAAUUAAACAUCAAGUUUGAAAUUAAUUCAUCUUUGCAUAGUGAUACAUGUAUCUAGUAAGAUGAUUUGUAUGCAUUCUACUGAAUAUGUAGUUUUGUAAAACAUGAAAUAAGUUAUGUGCUAAAAAAUGUUUUCGAAAUUGUUACAAUAGCAGAAAAAAUCUUGCAUUAUAAUUUUGUGUGGCACCUAAAUUUUAAUAAAAUUGAAAAUAA